UGCGUAGGUGGCUUAACAAGUUGGUAGUGAAAUUCCGAGGCUUAACUUCGGCGCUACUACCAAGACUGUUGAGCUUGAGUACAGGAGAGGUAAGUGGAAUUCCUAGUGUAGCGGUGGAAUGCGUAGAUAUUAGGAGGAACACCAGUGGCGAAGGCGACUUACUGGCCUGCAACUGACACUGAGGCACGAAAGCGUGGGGAGCAAACA
rnacentral:rRNA from 1 species